GCCUUCGUGGUGUAAUGGUCAGCAAGCUCGACUCAUAUUCGAGAGGUUCGUUGUUCGAUUCCCGGCGAGGGCA